GAACUCUGCUGAAGGAACUAGGCAAAAUGGUACCGUAACUUCGGGAGAAGGUACGCUGUUGUUGGUGAUGGAACUCGCUUCCUGAGCUGACGACAGCCGCAGAAACCAGGCCGCUGCAACUGUUUAUUAAAAACAUAGCACUCUGCAAACACGAAAGUGGACGUAUAGGGUGUGAUGCCUGCCCGGUGCUGGAAGGUUAAUUGAUGGGGUUAGCGUAAGCGAAGCUCUUGAUCGAAGCCCCAGUAAACGGCGGCCGUAACUAUAACGGUCCUAAGGUAGCGAAAUUCCUUGUCGGGUAAGUUCCGACCUGCACGAAUGGCAUAAUGAUGGCGGCGCUGUCUCCAGCAGAGGCUCAGUGAAAUCGAAAUCGCUGUGAAGAUGCAGUGUACCCGCGGCUAGACGGAAAGACCCCGUGAACCUUUACUGCAGCUUGACACUGAACUUUGACCUUACUUGUGUAGGAUAGGUGGGAGGCUUUGAAGCUGGAACGCUAGUUCCAGUGGAGCCGUCCUUGAAAUACCACCCUGGUAAUGUUGAGGUUCUAACUCUGUCCCGUGAUCCGGGACGAGGACCGUGUCUGGUGGGUAGUUUGACUGGGGCGGUCUCCUCCUAAAGAGUAACGGAGGAGUACGAAGGUGCGCUCAGCGUGGUCGGAAAUCACGCGUAGAGUAUAAAGGCAAAAGCGCGCUUAACUGCGAGACCCACAAGUCGAGCAGGUACGAAAGUAGGUCUUAGUGAUCCGGUGGUUCUGUAUGGAAGGGCCAUCGCUCAACGGAUAAAAGGUACUCUGGGGAUAACAGGCUGAUACCGCCCAAGAGUUCAUAUCGACGGCGGUGUUUGGCACCUCGAUGUCGGCUCAUCUCAUCCUGGGGCUGAAGCAGGUCCCAAGGGUAUGGCUGUUCGCCAUUUAAAGAGGUACGCGAGCUGGGUUUAGAACGUCGUGAGACAGUUCGGUCCCUAUCUACCGUGGGCGCUGGAAAUUUGAGAGGAUCUGCUCCUAGUACGAGAGGACCAGAGUGGACGAACCUCUGGUGUACCGGUUGUGACGCCAGUCGCAUCGCCGGGUAGCUAUGUUCGGAAGGGAUAACCGCUGAAAGCAUCUAAGCGGGAAGCCUACCUCAAGAUAAGAUUUCCCUAGGACUUUAUGUCCUCUAAAGAGCCGUUCGAGACUAGGACGUUGAUAGGUUGGAUGUGGAAGCAUAGUGAUAUGUGAAGCUGACCAAUACUAAUUGCUCGUGAGGCUUGACUAUACAACACCCAAGCAGUUG
rnacentral:rRNA from 1 species